CCCUAUCCUUAUUUGCCAGCNCGUAAUGGNGGGAACUCUAGGGAGACUGCCGGUGAUAANNCGGAGGAAGGUGGGGACGACGUCAAGUCAUCAUGGCCCUUACGGGCAGGGCUACACACGUGCUACAAUGGCAUGUACAGAGGGAUGCGAACUCGCGAGAGCAAGCGGACCCCAAAAAGCAUGUCGUAGUCCGGAUCGGAGUCUGCAACUCGACUCCGUGAAGUCGGAAUCGCUAGUAAUCGUAGAUCAGAAUGCUACGGUGAAUACGUUCCCGGGCCUUGUACACACCGCNCNUCACACCAUGGGAGUGGGCUGCAAAAGAAGUGGGUAGUUAACCU
rnacentral:rRNA from 1 species